rnacentral:rRNA from 1 species
UUCGUCGGAACAGAGUGACAGGUGGCUGCAUGGCUGUCGUCAGCUCGUGUCGUGAGAUGUUGGGUUAAGUCCCGCAACGAGCGCAACCCUUGUCUCUAGUUGCCAGUAUUAAGUUAGGGACUCUAGAGAGACUGCCUCGGUUAACGGGGAGGAAGGUGGGGAUGACGUCAAGUCCUCAUGGCCUUUAUACCCAGGGCUACACACGUGCUACAAUGGGCUGCACAAAGGGUCGCUAGCUCGCGAGAGUACGCUAAUCCCAAAAAGCAGUUCUCAGUUCGGAUUGGAGUCUGCAACUCGACUCCAUGAAGUUGGAAUCGCUAGUAAUCGUGGAUCAGCACGCCACGGUGAAUACGUUCCCGGGCCUU